AAGUGUGGACGCCAGUCUGCAUGGAGCCGACCUUGAAAUACCACCCUUUAAUGUUUGAUGUUCUAACGUUGACCCGUAAUCCGGGUUGCGGACAGUGUCUGGUGGGUAGUUUGACUGGGGCGGUCUCCUCCUAAAGAGUAACGGAGGAGCACGAAGGUUGGCUAAUCCUGGUCGGACAUCAGGAGGUUAGUGCAAUGGCAUAAGCCAGCUUGACUGCGAGCGUGACGGCGCGAGCAGGUGCGAAAGCAGGUCAUAGUGAUCCGGUGGUUCUGAAUGGAAGGGCCAUCGCUCAACGGAUAAAAGGUACUCCGGGGAUAACAGGCUGAUACCGCCCAAGAGUUCAUAUCGACGGCGGUGUUUGGCACCUCGAUGUCGGCUCAUCACAUCCUGGGGCUGAAGUAGGUCCCAAGGGUAUGGCUGUUCGCCAUUUAAAGUGGUACGCGAGCUGGGUUUAGAACGUCGUGAGACAG
rnacentral:rRNA from 1 species